rnacentral:rRNA from 1 species
CUCUCUAUGAAGUUACAUAUAGUCUAGCCUGCCCCCUGAUUUUUUAAAGGCCGCAGUACUCUGACUGUGCAAAGGUAGCAUAAUAAUUAGUUUUUUAAUUGAAAGCUUGAAUGAACGGCUGGACGAAGAAUAAUCUUUCUUUAAUUUUAAUCUAAAAUUUUACUUUUAAGUGAAAAGGCUUAAAUGAAUUUAAAAGACGAUAAGACCCUAUAAAACUUUAUAAAAUAAAAUAUUUAACUUUACUUAUUAAGUUUAAACCUUUUAAAUAUUUAAUUUUAUUAUGUUGGGGUAACAAGAAUAAAUAAUUUUCAUUAAACUGUUCUUUUUUUAAAAACAAAAAUAUUUGUAUAAAUCUAGAUGAUCCUUUACUUUGAAGAUUAAAAGAUUAAGUUACUUUAGGGAUAACAGCGUAAUUUUUUUAGAGAGUUCUUAUCGAAAAAAAAGUUUACGACCUCGAUGUUGAAUUAAAAUUUCUUUAUUGGUGUAGAAGCUAUAAAAGUAAGUCUG